CCUACGGGAGGCAGCAGUAGGGAAUCUUCCGCAAUGGACGAAAGUCUGACGGAGCAACGCCGCGUGAGCGAAGAAGGCCUUCGGGUCGUAAAGCUCUGUUGUCAGGGAAGAACAAGUACCGGAGUAACUGCCGGUACCUUGACGGUACCUGACCAGAAAGCCACGGCUAACUACGUGCCAGCAGCCGCGGUAAUACGUAGGUGGCAAGCGUUGUCCGGAAUUAUUGGGCGUAAAGCGCGCGCAGGCGGUCCUUUAAGUCUGAUGUGAAAGCCCACGGCUCAACCGUGGAGGGUCAUUGGAAACUGGGGGACUUGAGUGCAGAAGAGGAAAGCGGAAUUCCACGUGUAGCGGUGAAAUGCGUAGAGAUGUGGAGGAACACCAGUGGCGAAGGCGACUUUCUGGUCUGUAACUGACACUGAGGCGCGAAAGCGUGGGGAGCAAACAGGAUUAGAUACCCUGGUAGUCCACGCCGUAAACGAUGAGUGCUAAGUGUUAGAGGGUUUCCGCCCUUUAGUGCUGCAGCUAACGCAUUAAGCACUCCGCCUGGGGAGUACGGCCGCAAGGCUGAAACUCAAAGGAAUUGACGG
rnacentral:rRNA from 1 species